rnacentral:rRNA from 1 species
CAGCCGUAAACUAUGCGCGUUAGGUGUAUCGGUGACCACGAGUCACCGAGGUGCCGAAGGGAAACCGUGAAACGUGCCGCCUGGGAAGUACGGUCGCAAGGCUGAAACUUAAAGGAAUUGGCGGGGGAGGCACCACAACAGGUGGAGCCUGCGGUUUAAUUAGGACUCAACGCCGGGAAGCUCACCGGAUAGGACAGCAGAAUGAUUGCCGGGCUGAAGACCCUGCAUGACUAGCUGAGAGGAGGGUGCAUGGCGUAGACGUCU